rnacentral:rRNA from 1 species
AGUCCCCUCCUAAAUCCUCGGGCUCAACCCGAGGGUUGGAGGAGAUACUGCCGGCUAGGGGGCGGGAGAGGCCGAGGGUACUCCCGGGGUAGGGGCGAAAUCCGUUAAUCCCGGGAGGACCACCCGUGGCGAAGGCGCUCGGCUGGAACGCGCCCGACGGUGAGGGGCGAAAGCCGGGGGAGCGAACCGGAUUAGAUACCCGGGUAGUCCCGGCUGUAAACGAUGCGGGCUAGCUGUUGGGUGGGCUUAGAGCCCACCCAGUGGCGCAGGGAAGCCGUUAAGCCCGCCGCCUGGGGAGUACGGCCGCAAGGCUGAAACUCAAAGGAAUUGGCGGGGGAGCACCACAAGGGGUGGAGCCUGCGGUUUAAUUGGAGUCAACGCCGGGAAUCUUACCGGGGGAGACAGCAGGAUGACGGCCAGGCUGAAGGCCUUGCCCGACGCGCUGAGAGGAGGUGCAUGGCCGUCGCCAGCUCGUGUCGUGAGAUGUCCGGUUAAGUCCGGCAACGAGCGAGACCCCCACCCCCAGUUGCUAUUCCGCCCUCAGGGGCGGGAGCACACUGGGGGGACUGCCGCCGUUUAAGGCGGAGGAAGGUGGGGGCCACGGC